GGUUUAAUUACCCAAGUUUGAGGUACCAACAUAACAAAGCUGUCUUCGCGACAGAGCUUCUUGAAAAAGAUUGCAACAGAGAUUAUGAAGUCAUUGAA
rnacentral:snRNA from 13 species